rnacentral:rRNA from 1 species
UACGUAGGAGGCAAGCGUUGUCCGGAAUUACUGGGCGUAAAGCGCGUGUAGGCGGUCUGAAUAGUCUGCUGUGAAAGCGCCUGGCUUAACCGGGCGAGGUCGGCGGAAACUCUCGGACUGGAGGCCGGUAGAGGGGGGUGGAAUUCCCGGUGUAGUGGUGAAAUGCGUAGAGAUCGGGAGGAACACCUGUGGCGAAGGCGGCCCCCUGGGCCGCGCCUGACGCUGAGACGCGAAGGCUAGGGGAGCAAACGGG